CGGGAUACAUAGCGUUGUGCACGGGAUACAUUAGGUUUGAUACAUUCCACAUAGCGGGAUACAUAACGUUGUGCACGGGAUACAUAGCGUUGUGCACGGGAUACAUUAGGUUUGAUACAUUCCACAUAGCGGGAUACAUAACGUUGUGCACGGGAUACAUAGCGUUGUGCACGGGAUACAUUAGGUUUGAUACAUUCCACAUAGCGGGAUACAUAACGUUGUGCACGGGAUACAUAGCGUUGUGCACGGGAUGCAUAGUGUUUGAUACAUUCCACAUAGCGGGAUACAUAACGUUGUGCACGAGAUACAUGCGG
rnacentral:lncRNA from 1 species